rnacentral:tRNA from 2 species
GGGCGUGUAGCUCAUUUGGUAGAGCGCUCGCUUAGCAUGCGAGAGGUACUGGGUUCGAUUCCCAGCUCGUCCA